rnacentral:lncRNA from 1 species
UUGCUGGAUUUCACUUAUUUAUUCACUUAUUUUUGGUAAAUGCCAUGGUAACAUAUUAACAGCUUUUUUUGUAUAUUUGUUUUCAUUUUUCAGGAAGCAUCCCUGUAAGAAUUCCUCUGAAUUAUCUUCUCAUGCCAAGAUUAUACAGGUGAAUUAUAGUAAUAACCAGCUGUCAAACCAGAGCACAAAUGACAACUAGAUAGGUCAGUAUGGCACUACGCAUUAGCCUUAUAGCAUUACCUUGAUUAUAUUUGAAUUUAAUUGGGAA